CUACGGGGUGCUGCAGUGGGGAAUAUUGCACAAUGGGCGCAAGCCUGAUGCAGCCAUGCCGCGUGUAUGAAGAAGGCCUUCGGGUUGUAAAGUACUUUCAGCGGGGAGGAAGGGAGUAAAGUUAAUACCUUUGCUCAUUGACGUUACCCGCAAAAGAAGCACCGGCUAACUCCGUGCCAGUAGCCGCGGUAAUACGGAGGGUGCAAGCGUUAAUCGGAAUUACUGGGCGUAAAGCGCACGCAGGCGGUUUGUUAAGUCAGAUGUGAAAUCCCCGGGCUCAACCUGGGAACUGCAUCUGAUACUGGCAAGCUUGAGUCUCGUAGAGGGGGGUAGAAUUCCAGGUGUAGCGGUGAAAUGCGUAGAGAUCUGGAGGAAUACCGGUGGCGAAGGCGGCCCCCUGGACGAAGACUGACGCUCAGGUGCGAAAGCGUGGGGAGCAAACAGGAUUAGAUACCCUUGUAGUC
rnacentral:rRNA from 1 species